UUUCUUUUUGCAGUAAAAGUGAUUUAUUAAAAGACAUUCCAACUUUAGAUGCCACUGCAGGAAGUGUAGGAUCACCAUUUAAACGUACCGGCGGCAAUGGUUUGCCGGUGGUAAGUAAACCUGUGAAAGAAAAUGAAAUCGAUGAAAUGGAAGCAUGGUUAGGCAGCUCAAAAACGAUAGAGGGUCUCGAAGAAACUGUCACCAGUUCAGAGUUUGAUAAAUUCUUAGAGGAAAGAGCAGCUGCAGCUGAAAAUCUUCCCACAAUUAAUGCCACGAAUAAUCUAGAUAAUGCUGCUGUACAGCAACCAACCAAUCAACAGGCAAAAGCUAAGAAACCCGAAGAAGAUCUGUUAUUACUUUGAGCUUAUAUAUGCUGCUGCUAUAUACCUAUUCUUCUUCUUCACUAUGCAAAAGCCGCCUCCUCUACGAAGAUGACAUCAUUAUCAUCGUCAAACGAGUACAUCAAAUAUUAUUAUAUUGGCUUUAAUUGUUUCUUUUUUUACUAAAUGUCUAAUUAAAACAAAUCGAAG